CGCCCCUCCGACAGCCCCGCCCAGCUGAAUGUAUCCGCCGCCUGCCAGAGAGGGCAGCUCUGGUAACCCGCAGCCCGGCUGAGGCAGGCGUGAGGGUAUGAAUGCAGAGGCACACGCAAAAACAUACGUGCUCCGAAUUGCCGAGCUGCAGCAAAUAGUUUCUCCCCAGGAUGGGAUGGAGGCGAAGCAGAUGGGUCUCCACACACCCUUAGCAUGCGCCGGGGAAAGGGAGAGCCACGGGGAGACGUACAGCACCCGCCCGGAGACAGUCCUUCCCAGACCCGAGGUGUGCAGAAAUUGGGGGAGGGGAGAAAUGGAGACCCCAGGACGGGAAUGGAGAGCAAAUGGGCGCAUGAUGACCCACAAGAGGCGCGCAUGGGUAGAGAUGGACCAGAGAGGACGAUGUGGCGGGGGGAAGUGCGCGAGAGGAGACGGAGCAGGUCUCAGAACACGGAUGGGGAGCAGCGGACACCUGUCAGGAUGACGUCAGCACAGCCGGGCCAGGACUGACGGGGCCGCCGGCCAAUCAGCCUCUUCCAUGCACAGGUCCCUGCUGCGUGCCCUGUGGGAACGGUGAAGUAAAACCCGCAGUCUGAGCCUGAGAAACCCUGGCGUUUGUAGCCCAGGUCUGCGAGGAAGCCGCAGGGCGGUCGGCAGGGCGGCAGCGGGGCUGGGGGACCCGAGGAGGGGUCGGACAUCCUGCACGCCUCGCGCGCGCACCUGUCGGAACGGGCCGCCUCUUCCUGCCUACCUGCCCUGCCUCCCUCGCCCCGAAUUUCACCUUAAACCGUGAUGAACCAAACCCAGUGGAUCCUGAAGCCUGGGACGAUGGAUGGCAGGUUCGAGAGAGAAGUGGGCAGCUGGGGGUGGGGCACACGAUUAUUUGGGCGCCCCCACCCCACCCCCACAGAAAUACAUCUGGAAAGCGUGGGCUGUCCUAAGGGCUGGGACUGGGGGUGAUGGUCUCAUCGAUGACUCAGAGGGAGAGAAAACCCUCUGCGUCCCAAGCCAAAGAGAAUAAAAUUCUCCAGUAUAGCCAAC